GCGGAUGUGGCGGAAUUGGCAGACGCGCUAGAUUCAGGUUCUAGUGUCCGUUAAGGACGUGGAGGUUCAAAUCCUCUCAUCCGCA
rnacentral:tRNA from 2 species